GUCAAAGACCUCGGCCUAAAGGCCGAGGCUUGAAUAAGCCUCUAGUUGACUAGCCUCAGGCCGUCGUUUGGCGGACUACGUUGGUCGGGAAUCUAUAUAUAGGCACCGCGGGAUGCAGAUCCUAGUCUCUAUAGGCCCCGCGGGAUGCAGAUCCUAGUCUCGCGCUCUGCGGCCGAUGGUUAAAAGCUCUGAGAGGUAGGAGCGGUGCUGUCGACUUGAAACCCCUUCCAACAUUGGCGAAGGAUCACAAC
rfam:Parasutterella excrementihominis CAG:233 genomic scaffold, scf333